rnacentral:rRNA from 1 species
AUACGGAGGGUGCAAGCGUUACUCGGAAUCACUGGGCGUAAAGCGCGCGUAGGCGGCUCGAUAAGUCGGAUGUGAAAGCCCCGGGCUCAACCUGGGAACUGCAUUCGAAACUGCCGAGCUAGAGUUUGAUAGAGGAGAGUGGAAUUCCACAUGUAGCGGUGAAAUGCGUAGAUAUGUGGAGGAACACCAGUGGCGAAGGCGGCUCUCUGGAUCAAAACUGACGCUGAGGUGCGAAAGCGUGGGUAGCAAACAGGAUUAGAAACCCCAGUAGUCC